UACGGAGGGAGCUAGCGUUAUUCGGAAUUACUGGGCGUAAAGCGCACGUAGGCGGCUUUGUAAGUAAGAGGUGAAAGCCUGGAGCUCAACUCCAGAAUUGCCUUUUAGACUGCAUCGCUUGAAUCAUGGAGAGGUGAGUGGAAUUCCGAGUGUAGAGGUGAAAUUCGUAGAUAUUCGCAAGAACACCAGUGGCGAAGGCGGCUCACUGGCCCGGUACUGACGCUGAGGUGCGAAAGCGUGGGAGCAAACAGG
rnacentral:rRNA from 1 species